UGGGGAAUAUUGCACAAUGGGCGCAAGCCUGAUGCAGCCAUGCCGCGUGUGUGAAGAAGGCCUUCGGGUUGUAAAGCACUUUCAGCGGGGAGGAAGGCGUUAAGGUUAAUAACCUUGGCGAUUGACGUUACCCGCAGAAGAAGCACCGGCUAACUCCGUGCCAGCAGCCGCGGUAAUACGGAGGGUGCAAGCGUUAAUCGGAAUUACUGGGCGUAAAGCGCACGCAGGCGGUCUGUCAAGUCGGAUGUGAAAUCCCCGGGCUCAACCUGGGAACUGCAUUCGAAACUGGCAGGCUAGAGUCUUGUAGAGGGGGGUAGAAUUCCAGGGGUAGCGGUGAAAUGCGUAGAGAUCUGGAGGAAUACCGGUGGCGAAGGCGGCCCCCUGGACAAAGACUGACGCUCAGGUGCGAAAGCGUGGGGAGCAAACAGG
rnacentral:rRNA from 1 species